UUUGGCCUUUAGUUUAUUUGGAAUAUGUUUUCAUAUACUGUGUGCACUUUUCCCCCCCCAGAUGUAAUGAGAUAUUCUAGCACUAUUAAACUUUUAUUUAGGACUUUUUCAGCUGCUUGUGACUUAAAUCUCAACAAAAUUCCAAAGGUAGUACUGGUUCAAGGCAAGACUUGAUAAAAUGGUGAGAAGCAGCUGCAACACCUAUUGCAGGAGGCAGGAUCUGGAGCAUGAGCAGUAGCUGGGUGGGCACCGUGGCUGGGAUCACCACCAUAGAGGUGGUGAAGCGCAAGAUCCAGGUUCUGCAGCAGCAAGGAGAGGAGAGAGCUGAGUGCUUCCAGUGAGAAAUUGAGGGAGAAAGGUGCAGCCCAGGAACAGGCUGAGGCGGCCUUGUUGGACCAUAGGAUCCAGCUGGUUGAGGAGGAGCUGGACCAUACUCAGGAGCGCCUGGCCACUGCCCUGCAAAAGUUAGAAGAAGGGGAAAAAGCUGCCGAUGAGAGUGAGAGAGGUAUGAAGGUUAUUGAAAACUGGGCCUUAAAAGAUGAAGAAAAGAUGGAACUCCAGGAAAUCCAGCUCCAAGAAGCUAAGCCCAUUGCAGAAUAGGCAGAUAGGAAGUAUGAAGAGGUGGCUCGUAAGUUGGUUAUCAUUGAAGGAGACUUGGAACACACAGGAACAAGCUGAGCUGGCAGAGUCCCGAUGCCAAGAGGUGAAUGUGCAGAUCAGACUGAUGGACCAGAACCUGAAGUGUCUGAGUGCUGCUGAAGGAAAGUACUCUCAAAAAGAAGACAAAUAUGAGGAAGAGAUUACUAUUCUUACUGAUAAACUCAAGGAGGCAGAGACCUGUGUUGAGUUUGCUGAGAUACCGGUAGCCAAGCUGGAAAAGACAACUGAUGACUUGGAAGAUAAACUGAAAAUGUGCCAAAGAGGAGCACUCUGUACCCAAAUGAUGCUGGACCAGACUCUGCUUGACCUGAGUGAGAUGUAGAGCACCCCAGUCCCACCCUGCUGCUAUUCCUCCCUCUGACCCUGACUCCGCCUGAGGCCAGCCUGCCCAAAGCUGACCUUUAGUUGAGGGCUGAUCUUUAACUGGAAGGCUGCUUUCUCCUUUCGCUGCUCCCUCCCUUGUUUCUCUUUUUGCCAAACUGUCCCUUCCUCUUCCCAAAGAUUCCAGCUGGGCUGUUGGGAACAACGUUUAAGGGAAUGUGAGCACAAUGCAUAAUGUCUUUAAAAGCAUGUUGUGAUAUAUGCAUUUUGUAAUACCUUUUUGUUGUUUUGUAGCAACCAUUUUUUAAAGCAUUCCAAAUAAUUCCACAGCUUUGAAGCAGCAAUCCAUUCCUUUCUCACUUUUGGAAGGUAACUUUUCAGCUCAGUGCAUAUUGCCCUCUCCGUAGAAGAGAAGAAAAGGUAUAGGCCUGCCUUACUGAGAGCCAAACAGAGCCCAGGGAAAGACUCCACUACGGGAAACCUCAUUGCUCUGUACAAAGUACCAGCCAAACCAGAAAGGUGAUUCCAGGAGGAGUUAGCCAAACAAC